AGUCGACGUCUUUUCCUGGUGCCUGAGGACCAGCAUAGCUGCUGUAAAGGCAAUGAGCUAUGAGGUGGGUGGGCCGAGGGCCUGAACCUCGAGUGCUUGCUUAGCUGAUCUCUGUGGUGGUAGCUCUCUCUCUCUCUUACAUCACUUACCCAGCAAACGUUCUGAGAAAGCUGGCAUCGCCUGGCUCGAGAAAACCCAAGCUGAACUGUCCUUUCCUCUUGGUGUGUCUUGCUCACUCUGCUUUGCAGCCCACUCCCCCUUGGCAACAGAUCCCUCCUCCCCCUACACUGGGUUCAUGCCCCUACUGUACAGUUCUUAACGGCCUGACUUUCCCCCAGAGCCUCACAAAUACCCUAACCCAUAGUAUGAGUGGUGACUGAUGCUGAAUCUAGAAGAAGCCUGGUACCAGUUUCUUUUGCCUCGAUUUGAUGACCCAGAAAUUCAGAUUUGAAUGACUAAAGAGGGUCACCUUUGAAAGCCACAAAUCGGGGUUUCAACUUAGUCAAAUUUCAGGCUCAGAUAAGGGAUGAGAAGUGACUGAUCUACAGUCACACAACUGGGUUGUAGUAUGGAUUUGAGAUUUGGUUUUGGUUUUUGUUGUUGUUUUGUUUUGUUUCCUAAUGUGCUUCCUGCCUCUUGGUUUAUGAGGUGUGAUAACUUAUGACAAGCCCCUAAGCAAGGAAGCUAACCCCCAAACUACAGACUGAAUCCCCAAAAACCGUGAGUCAAAAUAAACCUUCUGUUUUUCAAAAUGGGUUCAUUUUAGAUAUUUGUUAUACUAAGAAAAAGCAAGCAGAUUAUUUAGAAACU
rnacentral:lncRNA from 1 species